rnacentral:lncRNA from 1 species
GUGCACUCAUGGGUCUUUCCAUGCUUCUUGGCCGAUCCUCCAUGGGGAUGCCAUCGGCCCAUCUAUCAACAUAGGUUUCUCCACAUUCAACUCUACUUCCUCUCCUUCUUUCCUCUCUCAUUUUUCUUUCUCCUUCUCCCUCAUGAUUUUUUUCUGCAAACCUCCUUUCAAGCCGUUCUAUGUUAGUAUUACUCUCCCUUCUUAUGGUGGCUAGUGAGGUUACCAAAUGUUCCAACACCCUACUCACCUCGGUGUUGUGGUUUUCUAUGGUUUCAAAGAGUCUAUGUGGGCUGAACGAAUCACUACCCGACUCCAUAAAAAACCAACCCCUUCAAUCAGGUUUUUCUGGUUUUACAAGUGAUUUCCAGAUCUGAUUUUCAGAUCUUAAUACAAGAACAAUGAAGAUUGAAGAUCUGAAAAGUAAGAGGAUACCCUUGAGAUCGACCUUUCGGGAAUUGGACUGCACCUAUUUUCCGACGAUCUCCGUUGAAGACUCUCAAUGAAAGCACCAGUGUUGGGUACCCGGGGACUUGCAGUCCCGAUCCCCGGCCCAAUCGUCCGAAGGUUGAAGAUGGUGUUGGCGGA